rnacentral:rRNA from 1 species
UACGAAGGGUGCUAGCGUUGUUCGGAAUUACUGGGCGUAAAGCGCGCGUAGGCUGUUUAUCAAGUCAGGGGUGAAAUCCUGGGGCUUAACCCCAGAAUUGCCUUUGAAACUGUUAAACUAGAGUGUCGGAGGGGAUAGCGGAAUUGCUAAUGUAGAGGUGAAAUUCGUAGAUAUUAGCAGGAACACCGGUGGCGAAGGCGGCUAUCUGGACGACAACUGACGCUGAGGCGCGAAAGCGUGGGGAUCAAACAGG